UGGGGAAUUUUGGACAAUGGGCGCAAGCCUGAUCCAGCCAUGCCGCGUGCGGGAAGAAGGCCUUCGGGUUGUAAACCGCUUUUGUCAGGGAAGAAAUCUUCUGAGUUAAUACCUCGGGAGGAUGACGGUACCUGAAGAAUAAGCACCGGCUAACUACGUGCCAGCAGCCGCGGUAAUACGUAGGGUGCAAGCGUUAAUCGGAAUUACUGGGCGUAAAGCGUGCGCAGGCGGUUUUGUAAGACAGAGGUGAAAUCCCCGGGCUCAACCUGGGAACUGCCUUUGUGACUGCAAGGCUUGAGUGCGGCAGAGGGGGAUGGAAUUCCGCGUGUAGCAGUGAAAUGCGUAGAUAUGCGGAGGAACACCGAUGGCGAAGGCAAUCCCCUGGGCCUGCACUGACGCUCAUGCACGAAAGCGUGGGGAGCAAACAGGAUUAGAUAGCCCUGGUAGUCCACGCCCUAAAACGAUGUCAACUGGUUGUUGGGAAGGUUCCUUCUCAGUAACGUAGCUAACGCGUGAAGUUGA
rnacentral:rRNA from 1 species